rnacentral:rRNA from 1 species
AUGUAUGCGUGUCUCCAAUUUCUCACUCAUGAUGUAUUGAUGUAUAUCCAGAACCAAAAUCAAGGGCUAUACACAACGGGCAGAGAGGACGAGAGCUCACUCUAUAUUACAAGUGGAGCAGAGACGACGAACUCACUCUAUGUGCAGCGGAGCAGUGAGGAAGAUGAGGCUCACUGUAUGUACAGUAUCUACUGGCUAGCUAAUUGA